UACGAAGGGGGCUAGCGUUGCUCGGAAUCACUGGGCGUAAAGGGUGCGUAGGCGGGUUCUUAAGUCAGAGGUGAAAUCCUGGAGCUCAACUCCAGAACUGCCUUUGAUACUGAGAGUCUUGAGUACGGGAGAGGUGAGUGGAACUGCGAGUGUAGAGGUGAAAUUCGUAGAUAUUCGCAAGAACACCAGUGGCGAAGGCGGCUCACUGGCCCGUUACUGACGCUGGAGGCACGAAAGCGUGGGGAGCAAACAGG
rnacentral:rRNA from 1 species